rnacentral:tmRNA from 1 species
GGGGCUGAUUCUGGAUUCGACGGGAUUUGCGAAACCCAAGGUGCAUGCCGAGGGGCGGUUGGCCUCGUAAAAAGCCGCAAAAAAUAGUCGCAAACGACGAAAACUACGCUUUAGCAGCUUAAUAACCUGCUUAGAGCCCUCUCUCCCUAGCCUCCGCUCUUAGGACGGGGAUCAAGAGAGGUCAAACCCACAAGAGAUCGCGUGGAAGCCCUGCCUGGGGUUGAAGCGUUAAAACUUAAUCAGGCUAGUUUGUUAGUGGCGUGUCCGUCCGCAGCUGGCAAGCGAAUGUAAAGACUGACUAAGCAUGUAGUACCGAGGAUGUAGGAAUUUCGGACGCGGGUUCAACUCCCGCCAGCUCCACCA